UACGUAGGGGGCUAGCGUUGUCCGGAACCAUUGGGCGUAAAGCGCGUGUAGGCGGUCCGGUAAGUCCGCUGUGAAAGUCGGGGGCUCAACCCUCGGAUGCCGGUGGAUACUGUCGGGCUUGAGUACGGAAGAGGCGAGUGGAAUUCCUGGUGUAGCGGUGGAAUGCGCAGAUAUCAGGAGGAACACCGAUGGCGAAGGCAGCUCGCUGGGACGGUACUGACGCUGAGGCGCGAAAGCGUGGGGAGCGAACAGG
rnacentral:rRNA from 1 species